rnacentral:rRNA from 1 species
UGGGGAAUAUUGGACAAUGGAGGAAACUCUGAUCCAGCAAUUCCGUGUGUGUGAAGAAGGUUUUAGGACUGUAAAACACUUUCAGUAGGGAAGAAAAAAAUGACGGUACCUACAGAAGAAGCAACGGCUAAAUACGCGCCAGCAGCCGCGGUAAUACGUAUGUUGCGAGCGUUAUCCGGAAUUAUUGGGCUUAAAGGGCAUCUAGGCGGUAAGACAAGUUGAAGGUGAAAACCUGUGGAUCAACCAUAGGCUUGCCUACAAAACUGUUGAACUAGAGUACUGGAAAGGUGGGUGGAACUACACGAGUAGAGGUGAAAAUCGUAGAUAUGUGUAGGAAUGCCAAUGAUGAAGAUAGCUCACUGGACGGAAACUGACGCUGAAGUGCGAAAGCUGGGGGAGCAAACAGG